rnacentral:rRNA from 1 species
GACGAACGCUGGCGGCGUGCUUAACACAUGCCAGUCGAACGGAAAGGCCCUGCUUUUGUGGGGUGCUCGAGUGGCGAACGGGUGAGUAACACGUGAGUAACCUGCCCUUGACUUUGGGAUAACUUCAGGAAACUGGGGCUAAUACCGGAUAGGAGCUCCUGCUGCAUGGUGGGGGUUGGAAAGUUUCGGCGGUUGGGGAUGGACUCGCGGCUUAUCAGCUUGUUGGUGGGGUAGUGGCUUACCAAGGCUUUGACGGGUAGCCGGCCUGAGAGGGUGACCGGCCACAUUGGGACUGAGAUACGGCCCAGACUCCUACGGGAGACAGCAGUGGGGAAUAUUGCACAAUGGGCGGAAGCCUGAUGCAGCAACGCCGCGUGCGGGAUGACGGCCUUCGGGUUGUAAACCGCUUUCGCCUGUGACGAAGCGUGAGUGACGGUAAUGGGUAAAGAAGCACCGGCUAACUACGUG